rnacentral:rRNA from 1 species
UUAACAGGAUUAGAUACCCUGGUAGUCCACGCCCUAAACGAUGUCAACUAGUUGUUGGGGAUUCAUUUCCUUAGUAACGUAGCUAACGCGUGAAGUUGACCGCCUGGGGAGUACGGUCGCAAGAUUAAAACUCAAAGGAAUUGACGGGGACCCGCACAAGCGGUGGAUGAUGUGGAUUAAUUCGAUGCAACGCGAAAAACCUUACCUACCCUUGACAUGCCACUAACGAAGCAGAGAUGCAUUAGGUGCUCGAAAGAGAAAGUGGACACAGGUGCUGCAUGGCUGUCGUCAGCUCGUGUCGUGAGAUGUUGGGUUAAGUCCCGCAACGAGCGCAACCCUUGUCUCUAGUUGCUACGAAAGGGCACUCUAGAGAGACUGCCGGUGACAAACCGGAGGAAGGUGGGGAUGACGUA